rnacentral:rRNA from 1 species
CCGAAUAGGGGAGCCGGAGGGAAACCGAGUCUUAAUUGGGCGUUAAGUUGCAGGGUAUAGACCCGAAACCCGGUGAUCUAGCCAUGGGCAGGUUGAAGGUUGGGUAACACUAACUGGAGGACCGAACCGACUAAUGUUGAAAAAUUAGCGGAUGACCUGUGGCUGGGGGUGAAAGGCCAAUCAAACCGGGAGAUAGCUGGUUCUCCCCGAAAGCUAUUUAGGUAGCGCCUCGUGAAUUCAUCUCCGGGGGUAGAGCACUGUUUCGGCUAGGGGGCCAUCCCGGCUUACCAACCCGAUGCAAACUGCGAAUACCGGAGAAUGUUAUCACGGGAGACACACGGCGGGUGCUAACGUCCGUCGUGAAGAGGGAAACAACCCAGACCGCCAGCUAAGGUCCCAAAGUCAUGGUUAAGUGGGAAACGAUGUGGGAAGGCCCAGACAGCCAGGAUGUUGGCUUAGAAGCAGCCAUCAUUUAAAGAAAGCGUAAUAGCUCACUGGUCGAGUCGGCCUGCGCGGAAGAUGUAACGGGGCUAAACCAUGCACCGAAGCUGCGGCAGCGACGCUUAUGCGUUGUUGGGUAGGGGAGCGUUCUGUAAGCCUG